rnacentral:rRNA from 1 species
CAACAGGGAUUGCCCUAGUAACGGCGAGUGAAGCGGCAACAGCUCAAAUUUGAAAUCUGGCCCUCGGGUCCGAGUUGUAAUUUGUAGAGGAUGCUUUUGGUGAGGUACCUUCCGAGUUCCCUGGAACGGGACGCCAUAGAGGGUGAGAGCCCCGUCUGGUUGGAUACCGAUCCUCUGUAAAGCUCCUUCGACGAGUCGAGUAGUUUGGGAAUGCUGCUCUAAAUGGGAGGUAUAUGUCUUCUAAAGCUAAAUAUUGGCCAGAGACCGAUAGCGCACAAGUAGAGUGAUCGAAAGAUGAAAAGCACUUUGAAAAGAGAGUUAAAAAGUACGUGAAAUUGUUGAAAGGGAAGCGCUUAUGACCAGACUUGGGCUUGGUUGAUCAUCCUGGGUUCUCCCUGGUGCACUCUUCCAGUUCAGGCCAGCAUCAGUUCGCUGCGGGGGAUAAAAGUUUUGGGAAUGUGGCUCCCUCGGGAGUGUUAUAGCCCAUUUCAUAAUACCCUGCUCCGGACUGAGGUUCGCGCAUCUGCAAGGAUGCUGGCGUAAUGGUCAUCAGCGACCCGUCUUGAAACACGGACCAAGGAGUCGUCUUCGUAUGCGAGUGUUCGGGUGUUAAACCCCUACGCGUAAUGAAAGUGAACGCAGGUGAGAGCUUCGGCGCAUCAUCGACCGAUCCUGAUGUUCUCGGAUGGAUUUGAGUAAGAGCAUACGGGGCCGGACCCGAAAGAAGGUGAACUAUGCCUGUAUAGGGUGAAGCCAGAGGAAACUCUGGUGGAGGCUCGCAGCGGUUCUGACGUGCAAAUCGAUCGUCAAAUAUGGGCAUGGGGGCGAAAGACUAAUCGAACCUUCUAGUAGCUGGUU